GGCUGUGGAGCGGUGGUAGUGCAUCUUCUUGGUGUGCUGGAGGUCCUGGGUUCGAUCCCCAGCAUCGCUA
rnacentral:tRNA from 1 species